rnacentral:rRNA from 1 species
CUAGCCCUAAACGAUCAGGACUUGGGGUGCCACCCGUUCGGGUGUCGUCCCGGAGCUAACGCGUUAAGUCCUGCACCUGGGGAGUACGGUCGCAAGACUGAAACUCAAAGGAAUUGACGGGGGCCCGCACAAGCGGUGGAACAUGUGGUUCAAUUCGACGCUACGCGAGGAACCUUACCUGGGCUCGAAAUGCUUCUGACCAGCUGUAGAAAUACGGCCUUCCCGCAAGGGACAGGAGUAUAGGCGCUGCAUGGCUGUCGUCAGCUCGUGCCGUGAGGUGUUGGGUUAAGUCCCGCGACGAGCGCAACCCCUGCACGUAGUUGCCACUCCGCAAGGAGGGAACUCUACGUGGACUGCUCCGGAUAACGGAGAGGAAGGUGGGGA